rnacentral:snRNA from 1 species
AGGCAUACUCGGUGCCGGGGCCUUGCUGAUCACCGAGUACGAGCCCCAGGGCGAGGCGCGGGCAUUGCACAGCGCUCUCGUUGACCCCUGCCACUACCCCAAACUUCGGCAAAUGGGGCAUGAAAAUUGCUUAAAUGCGGUUCAACGCAAG